AUGUUGACUAUUGCACACCUGAUGAAGCAAAAUUUGGCAAAGAAAAAAAAUCAGCGCAAGGUGCGCAUUCAGAAGAUUGAACGAAGAUGGGCAAGGGAAUGGAGGGAAUACAGAUAUGUGACUCCAAAGUACAUGAAGAAAUUCGCCCUCAAUCCUCCAUGCCCAAGAGCUCCAUUGGCACCUGGCCAAGUAGCUGAUCCCACAAGUAUCAAACGUGGUGAGAACUUUCCUGAAGAAUGGGCUAAGCGCCAAGCUAAAUUGGCAAGACAAGCCAAGGAGGCAGUGAAGAAAUUCAAUGAGGAUUCUGCCACUGCUACUGCUAUUGAGGCCUCGGUCAAACCGAGGAAAUCCAUGCCAAAGAAGCCUGCUCGUAAGCCAAGUGCUUCACCAACAGCGCCCUCAUGGCCAAGUUCCUCAGCAGUGCCCUCACGGCAAAUUCCUCACACUGCUACAGCUCCACCAAAGUCCUCAACAGCUCCUUCAAAGUCCUCAGCUCCUAUGCAUCUGGCUACAUGUCAAAGGACUGCUGGUUUCUCGAUUGCCUCUGGUGUUUCAGCAAGUUCCUCAGCUACACCAAAGUCAUCGUCUGGCCCGACUCUGCUGAAGACCAAAGCAACAGCUGGACGAGGUCCUCGGCCAAGUCCAAAGAAGAAACAGGUCGCAUUUCAUGUGCCUUCUGAUGAUGAAGCUGAUGAUGAUGAACUUGCGGAAAUCAUCAGAGAUCGCCAAGAAAGGGCCGCUAGAGCCAAAGGCACAUCUGUGCCACUGCUGUUGGAUCCGAGAAAAAUCCUCAAUUAUAUUGAUCUCUAG
rnacentral:rRNA from 1 species